rnacentral:lncRNA from 1 species
UAGAAAAUAGAAACUAAUGAGGCGGGAGCAGCGACAUUACAGAGAAGGAAUUAUGAGACGAGAAGCCAAUGGGGCAUACGUUACGAAAAAGGAAUUAAUGAGACGGAAAGCUGAAGAAGCAGAGGUUACAGGAAAGGAAUUAAUGAAAUGGAAAACCGAAGAAGCAGACGUUACGAGGAAGGUGAGCAAUCGCAAUGAUUGGAGAGUAGAAAUUUUGAGAAGGAGAGACUAUGAUGUUGACACGUGACAAAAGCUUAUGAGAAAUAAUGUAUGUGUAUAGAUGUGUGUAAUUUCGAAGGUAUCUAUGAAAUGAAUCGAUCAAGCAUUAA